AAACGAGAACGAAGCGUGCUCAGCUUCUGAGUACUCUCCUAUAGGAGGAGUGUAACCCGGAGGUAAACCAUACUGUGGGAAAGGAACUGACUGGCUCGCAGCGUUGAACAUUGGGGGAUAAGGGUGAGCAUUCCCCUCAACAUAUGCAGAUGAAGAAUCCCCAGUAGUCUUCAUGGAUUCAAGCGCCGCCAAGAUCUGGCC
rnacentral:lncRNA from 1 species